ACUCGGAGAUAGCUGGUUCUCCCCGAAAUGUAUUUAGGUACAGCCUUAAUAUAUAGUCUUGGGGGGGUAGAGCUCUGGAUGAGCUAGGGGGUGUAAGCUUACUAAACUCAACCAAACUCCAAAUACCUCGAGAUGUUUAUUAGGAGUGAGACAGUGGGGGAUAAGCUCCAUUGUCGAAAGGGAAACAGCCCAGAUCGCAGGCUAAGGCCCCUAAAUGUGAACUAAGUGUGAAAGGAAGUUAGAUUGGCGAGACAGCUAGGAGGUUGGCUUAGAGGCAGCCAUCCUUUGAAGAGUGCGUAACAGCUCACUAGCAGACUGGUUUUGCGCCGAAAAUGUAACGGGGCUAAGUUCACUGCCGAAGCCGCGACUUUAAUCAUUUAUUUGAUUAAGGGGUAGGGGAGCGUUGCCAAAGCAUUGAAGCUAUGUACGUGAGUAAUAGUGGAGUUUUGGGAAGUGAGAAUGCCGGCAUGAGUAGCGACAAUCUUGGUGAGAAUCCAAGACACCGAAAACCCAAGGUUUCCUACGCAACGUUGAUCAGCGUAGGGUAAGUCGGGCCUAAGCUGUAGCGUAUAGCGAAAGCGAUGGACAGCAGGUCAAAAUUCCUGCACCGUUGUUAUGGCGUUUUAAGGCAAAGGGGGGACACGGAAAGGUAGGUAGAUCGUACCUAUUGGACAUGGUACGUUAUGUUCUGAAGGCCAUGCCUAGACAGGGAAAUCCGUUUAGGCGUUAUGAGCUGAGGGAAUGAUAAAACUUAAGGGCUUUUGCCCUUGAGGAUUCUAUUGAUCCUAUGCCGUCAAGAAAAUCCUCGUUGCUAGACAUUUCAGCGUCCGUACCGCAAACCGACACAGGUGGGUGGGGGUAAGUAUCCCAAGGUGAACGAGAGAACCUUCGUUAAGGAAUUCGACAACUUAACUCUGUAACUUCGGAAUAAAGAGUGCCCGUUUGGUAGUAUUUACUUGCUAAAUAUGGCUAAAACGGGUCGCAGUGAACAGGCUCAGGCGACUGUUUAUCAAAAACAUAGGUCUCUGCUAAAGCGAAAGCUGAUGUAUAGGGGCUGACGCCUGCCCAGUGCCGGAAGGUUAAGGGAAAGGGUUCGUUUCAAUUCGUUGAAACAAAGCUCUGCACUGAAGCCCCGGUGAACGGCGGCCGUAACUAUAACGGUCCUAAGGUAGCGAAAUCCCUUGUCGGGUAAGUUCCGACCUGCACGAAUGGCGUCACGAUCUGAGCGUUGUCUCAACGAAGGACUCGGUGAAAUUGCAUGGCCGGUAAAGAUGCCGGCUACCCGCAACAGGACAAAAAGACCCCGUGGAGCUUUACUGUAGCUUGGUAAUGGAUUGCAUUUAUUAAUGUGUAGGAUAGGCGGGAGACUUUGAAGCAUCAGCGCUAGCUGGUGUGGAGUCAACCUUGAAAUACCGCCCUUUACUAAAUUCGAUUCUAACCUCGUAGAAAACGAGGGACAUUGCCAGGUGGGCAGUUUGACUGGGGCGGUCGCCUCCUAAAGAGUAAC
rnacentral:rRNA from 1 species